rnacentral:rRNA from 1 species
AUACGGAGGGUGCAAGCGUUAAUCGGAAUUACUGGGCGUAAAGCGUGCGUAGGCGGUUUAUUAAGUCAGAUGUGAAAGCCCCGGGCUUAACCUGGGAACUGCAUUUGAUACUGGUAGACUAGAGUAUGGUAGAGGGGGGUAGAAUUCCUAGUGUAGCGGUGAAAUGCGUAGAUAUUAGGAGGAAUACCAGUGGCGAAGGCGGCCCCCUGGACCAAUACUGACGCUGAGGUACGAAAGCGUGGGGAGCGAACAGGAUUAGAAACCCCUGUAGUCC